rnacentral:lncRNA from 1 species
CAAAUAAUCUUUAUAGUAAUAGAACUAGUGUAUCUUGGAGAGCAGAUUUAAAAGGAUUUGAAAUGGCAGAAAGCCAGAAACCAUGGAAAAAUAAAUAAACUAAGUCAAUCUAAUCAAAAUCUCUACAUAACUUGCGCCAUUCAGUCUAAAGCUCCAACAUCUAAAUCAAAUAACAAACUUUGGAGUACAAAAUUGAAUGAAGUUACCAUGAAGCCAAAUUCCCAAAAGAAAGGCUUAGAUGCAAAAAUUGAUCUUCUACUAUUUAGAUUAUUCCUAUUUUGUUAGCAACAUCCAGAGCAUCAUAAUCAGGUGUCAACCUAACAUAUGCCUUCUUAGUUCCAUCCGGCCUGAAACGGAGCAGAUCAUAAAUCAGUUACCAUGAAGCAAAAAAUGAAUUUGAAACCUUGUUUGUUACACAAAGUAGCAUGAACGGAUGAUAGAUUACUUCUAAACAAAGUCAUCUUUCAUGCUAUGACUGCAUUACCCAGCUUCAAGCAAUAGUUCAGAUGCACACGAUAUUAAAAUUUUCAAGCUAAUGUUGUUUAUCACUAAAAAUUCUAGAUGAAACUAUUUCAGACAGUAACAUUGAAAAACCUAAACAUAUUAUGAGACAAAAGUUAAGACACAAUCACAGGCCAACAGUUCAGAUGCAAUCAUGCAACAUGUAAAUUGCAGAAAGAUUGAUGGAAUCACUGUUCACCUGAUAAGGGUGUUCACUUUCUUCGUCUGGAUGUCAUACAUUUUCUUGACAGCGGCUUUGAUCUUUUUCUUAUCAGCACGAAUGUCAACAAUGAAAACUAGUGUGUUGUUGUCUUCAAUUUUCUUCAUUGCAGACUCUGUGGUGAGAGGGUAUUUAAGAAUCUGGUAGUGGUCAAGUUUGUUGCGAGGAACAGCACUAAUGCGAGGAUACUUGGGAUUCCUCUCCUUUGUCAAUGUCUUCGGCCGAUAGAAGGUAACUUUAGUGCGUAUUUUCUUGGCCUUCUUCUUAAAGGUUGUUGCACCUGCUUUUACAGCCUUGGCCGCCUUUAAGGCUUGAGCCUUGGCAUCUGACUUCUUACCUGCAUCACCUGUAGAUAUACAAGCAAAAGUGAAAAUUAGCAAACAAACAAAAGAAGGGGCUAGAUUUCCAUAACAAUAAAGCAACCUCGUACCCCAAAUCAGAAGUGCCCAUCAACAACGGUAAGUAAUGGCUAAAACCAAUUGGGAAAUGAGAAUAUAAUGAUUACCAACCCAAAUUGAAUGAGAGAAAAGUUGGAUGAGAGAUAGUUACAGUUUUAAUAUCAUGAUAAUUUCUAGUUUAGCAAGAAACCCAAUGAUAAACCAGAAACAACCACGUAGAUGGAUACAUAUAUGCCAUGUUAAAGUGUGUUUUAUAUAAAUAUCAUAAAUAAAUGAUAACUCUAACCACUGUAGGACAGGGGUCUCACAAUAUUGUAUCAAGGUUUAAUCAUGGAUGAAAAUGCAAUUCUAAGUCAACCUCACAAUGCAGCCAAACAAAAUAUUGAUUUCGUUCUCACAUAUUAUCGGACAAAUUCCUGAAAUAUCUAUUAAUCUACUCUUCAAGCAACAGCUCAUUCAAAUAGCAUUCACCCCAAAUUUUGAUUAUUAGAAUUGCAGUUUGUAGCUGUUUUCCCGAAAUUGUAAUAAGCAAUUCAGAAUUUCUACCACAAAGACAGCAAUAUUCUGAAAAUCUGAAACCUAAAUAGAAAAACUAUCGUACCUUUAGCUGGAGCCAUUUGAGACGGAAGUAACCCUAAUGCAACUUUUUACCUGUACAAACAUACAAAUUAGAUAACCCAAUAGCUAUAACUCAACCCUUUCCGGGGACAUUUCACAUCUAGGUAAAUCCAUUGAGCUAAACUCAUAUUCAAAUUCGCAGGUCACAAGUAGAAAUUUGUAACAAAGAAAUUCACUUUCCCGUUUCAAGCGACUUCAAUUGACACAACUUUAACAAAGAAAAUCCAAAAGGCCAGCAAGCAGACAUACAAGUUUGUGCAUUUUCUCCAGAAAAAUGGGGGGGAAAACUAUUUAAUACGAUUCAAUGACAAAUUGAGGAUAUCGGCAUUUAAUAAACGGUGAAGAAGAACGCAAUAGAGCGAUGACUAAACUAAGAAACAACAAAAAAGUGGAGCAAGGGAUUACCUUGACGGAGGCGGUUGAGAGAUGCAGAGUGAAGAAUGGAAAAGACGUUGCUUACUUUCUUCACCGCGGAUGAGGGUGACGAGAUGGUGUGCGGCGUGGGCUGAAUGGGGGGACAAGUAGCUAAUUAGGGUUAGAGUUUUCUUUUCCUCUUAUAUACUAUUCACUGCCUGCACAAAGUGAAAUCUUAAUGAAAGUUGGCAUGAAUUAUAAGUAAAGUUACUUGUUUAUGGAGUGAGGAGAUCAAAAGUUCCACAAAUUAAAACGGAUGGAGAAAAUUAGGGAGAGAAAUGAUCCACAUCUUUUAUGGAUUAAUGAAUUAUAAUAUGUGUAAAUAUGUUGGAGAAAAUUAGGGAGAGAAAUGAUCCACAUCUUUUAUGGAUUAAUGAAUUAUAUAAUAUGUGUAAAUAUGUAACAAUUUUAAAAGUAAUAGUAGUGAGAUUAUAUGCACAAAAAAAAAUUAUUCUCUCCGUACCACCGAACUUGAAUCUUAUUCCUAUUCGGGUUGUCCCGCCGAACUUGAGUCAUUUCCUUUUUUAGCAAAAAUUAGGUAAUUUAAAAGCAUUCACAGCAUAUCUCUUAAAAUUUUACUCCUAAAAAUACUCCUAAAGUAUUCUCUAAAUUAUUUUUAACCCCUUUUUUUGUACGGAUUAAGAAACUUACUUAUGAGGGGGAAAAUGAUAUGGUUCACACCAAUUAAGCAUGUAAUGAAUAUUGUUAAUCUCUCAAAAUAGAAAAAACGGGCCUAUUCUAGUGGAGCAUCCCAAAAUAGAAAACGAGUCUAUUCUAAUAGAACAUAAGGAAUAUUAAAUUUAAUAUUAUACAUUUCUCUUUUGGCUAUAAAUUUAUCAUGAAAAAAAAUUCAUCCCUUAAUUCUCUCAUUUGAUUUCUUCAAUUUCUACCAAAAAAAAUAUUAAGUACUAUUUUACAUUCCUCAUUUUCAGUUCAAUGAAGGAUAAUAUUAUCACAUUAAAAAAAAUAGUCAUAUUUUAUAUAUUGUUAUAAUUGUGACUAUUUUAAUCUUCCUUGUAUCAAAAUAGUUGAUUCUAUAUAUUAACCCUUCAAAAUGUAUGGAUCCUACACUUUUAAAUAAACAUUAAUAAAGUUGUUUAAUUAAUGUUUCUUGUUUGUCUAAAAUGGUGGCGGAGCGAUGAGGGUGGAAGGGGGUGGAACGGGGGCAGCACGCGGAGCAAGAGACCUAGGUGAGGUCGCUGUCAGUCGGCAUUAAGGAGGACGAGGUACUGGCCGAAGCCGAAGGAGGUAGCUAAACUUGAUGCUAAUCGGACCAGAAUCGAUCGAUUUUGUUGGUUCGAGGCGGUUUAGGUCCGCUUAUUGAUCCGAUCCGAUUCUUUUUUGAUGGACCAAUAGAUUAUCGGUACGGUUUCGGUUCUGGGGAGGCCAAACCCGAUGAAAACUGAAUCGAAUAUAUAUAUUAAAUAUAUAUUUUAUAUUUUUAUUAAUAUUAAUAAUAUUUUAAUUAAUUUCUAAAAUCAAAUAUUUUGAAUUUUGAAUUGAAAUAUUAAUUUCUAAAAUCAAAUAGACUUGAUUAUGGACUUUGUAGCUUUUUAUUGGAGUUAGUUUAUAGAUUUUAUUUUAUGGAUUUUUGGUGUAUUGAAUUAUUAUUGUUAAAUAAGUUAAAAUAUGUUUAAAAAUGUGUUUUUUUUUUGUUUUUUCGCAAAUUACCAAAAAUAGUCAGUUUUGGACCGAACCGGACCGAGAUCCGAUGGCGGUUUCGGUUCGGUCCUAGUGUUUCAGUUGGUUCGGUCCAUAAAAUAUUGUUUCGUCAAUCCUUGAUUUCGUCAGUUCGGUCCGGUCCGGACCGACUACUUACCCCUACUUGAUGCACCAAGGUCCUCCAAGUGGAAGCCCCUUAUUAAUGUGAGCAAAUUUCAAUUUGUUGGGCUUAAUACAGCAAAAUUCUUUUUAUUUCAGAUUUGAACCACUUUUAUUGAGACGGAUGAAAUACAUAUUUUCAAUCAACUUCGGCAAAGUCUUUCCAACAAUAAAUUUUCGAUUUUUUUUCAAGCAUGCUGCCAUUUGUUGCAGCAAAGUUGGACGUCUUUCACCCUUUUUUUCUUGGGUAUAGUAAAUGAAGGAACUUUUAAUGAGGUUAAUUUGAAGUUCAAAGUCUACCAUUUAUGCUCAUCGGAUGCCCUAAUUGAAGAUCUGGAAUCGGGAUUAGAUUAAGAAAUAACAGAAACUAGAACAGGAGUGAAGGAGAAGAAAUGAGUGAUGUUUACCCACGAAAGGUAGGAGGUGCACAUUUUUUGAUUGACGAAGAAUAGAAUGCCCUAAACCGAGUCUACCUAAUAAGUCUAGCAGUUUCAAGAAUAUCGAUGAGCCAAACAUUCUCUUAUGCCUCGUUGAUCCGUGGUUUCAAGGAAGGAAGAUUUGAUGAAGUUUUACGAUCAAUGCGCAAGGGAAAUGUGGUUUAUUGGAACACCAUGAUAAGCCAAACAGAAAAGAACGAAGACACUGUGAAUCUUUUGAGGGGACGUAGGAGGAGUUGUGGGAGAUAGGGUAGAGGAAAUGAACUGUAGAUUACCAAACAAUGAAAAUAUUCUUAGUAAUGGCUAGACAUUUGCAGUAAAUUUAUGUUGAUUACACUACCCAACAUGUUCUUUUUUUGAAGGGGCACUACCUAACAUGUUCGAUAAUAGGAAAAAGAUAUGCAAAUAAUCUUUAUAGUAAUAGAACUAGUGUAUCUUGGAGAGCAGAUUUAAAAGGAUUUGAAAUGGCAGAAAGCCAGAAACCAUGGAAAAAUAAAUAAACUAAGUACAAUCUAAAUCAAAAAUCUACUACAUAAACUUGCGCCAUUCAGUCUAAAGCUCCAACAUCUAAAUCAAAUAACAAACUUUGGAGUACAAAAUUGAAUGAAGUUACCAUGAAGCCAAAUUCCCAAAAGAAAGGCUUAGAUGCAAAAAUUGAUCUUCUACUAUUUAGAUUAUUCCUAUUUUGUUAGCAACAUCCAGAGCAUCAUAAUCAGGUGUCAACCUAACAUAUGCCUUCUUAGUUCCAUCCGGCCUGAAACGGAGCAGAUCAUAAAUCAGUUACCAUGAAGCAAAAAAUGAAUUUGAAACCUUG